UGUGGGAGCGGGCUUGCUCGCGAUGCAAACGACGCGGUAUGUCUGAGCUACCCCGUUGAUGCCAUCGCGAGCAAGCCCGCUCCCACA
rnacentral:misc_RNA from 1 species